AUUGAACGCUGGCGGCAUGCCUUACACAUGCAAGUCGAACGGCAGCGCGGGAGCAAUCCUGGCGGCGAGUGGGCGAACGGGUGAGUAAUAUAUCGGAACGUGCCCUGUAGCGGGGGAUAGCCCGGCGAAAGCCGGAUUAAUACCGCAUACGCUCUACGGAGGAAAGCGGGGGUCGCAAGACCUCGCACUAUAGGAGCGGCCGAUAUCGGAUUAGCUAGUUGGCGGGGAAAAGCCCACCAAGGCUACGAUCCGUAGCUGGUCUGAGAGGAUGAUCAGCCACACUGGAACUGAGACACGGUCCAGACUCCUACGGGAGCAGCAGUGGGGAAUUUUGGACAAUGGGCGCAAGCCUGAUCCAGCCAUGCCGCGU
rnacentral:rRNA from 1 species